GAACGUGCACGACACUAGCGCCAUCUGCCAACGAAACUUUAAGGGGCAUAUGUCAAAAAAUAAAUAACAACAGCUUUCUUAUUUUUAUUGAUUAGAGUAAAUAAAAUAUACUUUAAAAGACAAUAAAUGGUACGUUGAAUGGAAUUUGAUAAAAACUGUUUACGGAGAAAUGGACGUCAUUAUAAAAACUGGUUUUGAGUGUGUAAAACACACAUUAUGUUUCCAACCCCAAACUCAGCUAAAAGGAAAAAAAUUGGUGCUAGCAGAGCAUGUGAGGAAUGUAGAAGAGCUGAGAACUAAUGGCAAUAGUUAUUUAUUGAGCCACCAUCAUUCGUCAAACAUCGGUGACCUCGACACCCUAUAAAACAAGUUUAAACAUCGAUCAUGCUAGGGUUGUCACAGGAGUAAAAUGCAGCUGCGUUUAUAACCAGAGCAGCAAGUGCAAACAUGUUGCUGCUUUAAUAUAUGUUGCAUUAACAACAAAGUUAGUAAUUUAAAAACGAGCAUCGAACAUCAAUGGGGAGAACCCAUUAUUCGUCAAUUUGGAGCUUGUAAAUAUUCCAAAGGGAGCUAUUUUCAAGAUAUGUUUGGAUCAGUAUCUAAGACUGACUAUUGUGAACCACAAUCUAUAUUACGUCAAAUAUCUCCAAUUUAUGCUAACUUCUUAUGUUUGGAUGUGUUGCAGUAAUGAUACUGAUAAGAAAGUGUUAAUUUAAUAUUAUAAUGAUAAAAAUAUAAGUGCAGAACUUUAUAAAAUAAAAAACAGUUAUGUUUUUCGACAGUUGAAUUUUAUUUACCUUUUACAACAGUAUUACUCUUGGAAAAGAUUGGAGGCUGUAAAUUAACUAAAACACAACAUACAUGUACAAUAUCAUCAAUAAAAUUGAAUAAAUUAACACAAUCACAUUAAA